UACGUAGGGUGCAAGCGUUGUCCGGAAUUAUUGGGCGUAAAGAGCUCGUAGGCGGUUUGUCGCGUCUGCUGUGAAAACCCGAGGCUCAACCUCGGGCCUGCAGUGGGUACGGGCAAACUAGAGUGCGGUAGGGGAGAAUGGAAUUCCUGGUGUAGCGGUGGAAUGCGCAGAUAUCAGGAGGAACACCGAUGGCGAAGGCAGUUCUCUGGGCCUUACCUGACACUGAGGAGCGAAAGCGUGGGGAGCGAACAGG
rnacentral:rRNA from 1 species